AUUGGGAAGAGAAAAACACUUAUAAGUUCUCAAAAAACAAUGAAUCUCCCUUUACAACGUGGUAGGGCUCCCCUUUUAUAGUGACCCGUAAGCCACUUUACAUCCUGAAAAUGUCCUUUCUCACCUACUAGAUUCCUAGGAUAUGCCGUACAUAAAGGUCAUUGGGGUAACGUGUACAAAUUGAAUUCUCCUAUGUUGUCACGCUUCUCAUGCCUUUAUGUUGUCACGCUUCUCAUGCCUUCAUGUAGUCACGCUUCUCACAUCUUCAUCUUCUUAACCUCGAGACUUCUUCUCUGCACUAGAUCAAGUUUUAAACCUCAU
rnacentral:lncRNA from 1 species